AAAGAUGUAUGUUGUCUACUCCUGUCUGUUAUGUAAAUUACUUAAAAGUUCACAUGAACAAAAUACACAGCUGCCAUUGAGUGUUCUUGAAACUAUAACUCUACAAGAUUGUUGCAUUGAUAGCGCUGCAGGAAACUUAUUACUUAUGAAAAUGCUAAAGUAUGCUCUUCAUAUAUGUGCAGUUGAUGAUUUUUCAGAAAAUGAUCUUCUUUCUCCGU
rnacentral:lncRNA from 1 species